AGUCUAAUAGGUUUUUGGAUACCUGAUUCUCAUUCAGGAGAUUGUGGGUUCGACUCCGCUACGGAGUAAUUUUUCAACCCGUUAAUCGGAGUUCGAUUCUCCGCAGAAGCACCA
rnacentral:tRNA from 1 species